rnacentral:lncRNA from 1 species
AAUGUAUCUGUCCAUGUCUGAAUGUAUUGCAGAAAUUGAAAAGGGGAAGGGGAAGAAAAGAAGGGGAAGAAGAUCAAAGAAGAAAAGAAGAAGGGGAAGAAAAGAAGGGGAAGAAGAUCAAAACCCACCAUGCCCCAGGCUCAACGGCGUGCUGAUGGAAGUGGAAGAGCCUGAAGUCUUACAGGACUCACUGGAUAGAUGUUAUUCGACUCCGUCAAUGUACUUUGAACUACCUGACUCAUUCCAGCACUACAGAAGUGUGUUUUACUCAUUUGAGGAAGAGCACAUCAACUUCGCCCUUUACGUGGACAAUAGGUUUUUUACUUUGACGGUGACAAGUCUCCACCUGGUGUUCCAGAUGGAAGUCAUAUUCCCACAAUAAACAGCCCUUACUAAGCUGAGAGAUGUCAUUCCUGCAGGCAGGACCUAUAGGCACGUGAAGAUUUGAAUGAAAGUACAGUUCCAUUUGGAAGCCCAGACAUAGGAUGGGUCAGUGGGCAUGGCUCUAUUCCUAUUCUCAAACCAUGCCAUUGGCAACCUGUGCUCAGUCUGAAGACAAUGGACCCACGUUAGGUGUGACACAUUCACAUAACUGUGCAGCACAUGCCAGGAGUGAUCAGUCAGACAUUUUAAUUUGAACCACAUAUCUCUGGGUAGCUACAAAAUUCCUCAGGGAUUUCAUUUUGCAGGCAUGUCUCUGAGCUUCUAUACCUGCUCAAUGUCAGUGUCAUCUUUGUGUUUAGCUCAUCCAAAAUUGUUACCCUGGUUUCAAUGAACCUAACCUCAUUCUUUGUGUCUUCAGUGUUGGCUUGUUUUAGCUGAUCCAUCUGUAACACAGGAGGGAUCCUUGGCUGAGGAUUGUAUUUCAGAACCACCAACUGCUCUUGACAAUUGUUAACCCGCUAGGCUCCUUUGGUUAGAGAAGCCACAGUCCUUCAGCCUCCAAUUGGUGUCAGUACUUAGGAAGACCACAGCUAGAUGGACAAACAGCAUUGGGAGGCCUUAGCCCUGCUCCUCUCAAUUCCAUCCUGUAGAGAACAGGAGUCAGGAGCCGCUGGCAGGAGACAGCAUGUCACCCAGGACUCUGCCGGUGCAGAAUAUGAACAAUGCCAUGUUCUUGCAGAAAACGCUUAGCCUGAGUUUCAUAGGAGGUAAUCACCAGACAACUGCAGAAUGUAGAACACUGAGCAGCACAACUGACCUGUCUCCUUCACAUAGUCCAUAUCACCACAAAUCACACAACAAAAAGGAGAAGAGAUAUUUUGGGUUCGAAAAAAGUAAAAAGAUAAUGUAGCUGCAUUUCUUUUUUUUUUUUCUUUUUUUAAAUUUUUAUUUUUUUAUUUUUUAUUGAUCAUUCUUGGGUGUUUCUCGCAGAGGGGGAUUUGGC